AUGCGUGCUUCCCUUGUCGGGAUGCCUGGAGCAUUAGGCCCGCUCCGCAUGCUUGCCGCCUUGCACCUCGAUUCGGUCCUCGUGCCGUCGUCGAUGCGUGCGUGCUGCUUUAUUUUUUUUUUUCUUCGCAAGCUCCAAAUUGCGGUUGGGAUGCCGGUCGGAAUUUGGUGGGAUUGGGAGCAGAGGAGGGAGGCCCUCUGCUCUUCCAUGCUUUUGCUUCGGAUGAUGGAGGGGAUAUUGUUAGGUGGAGCCACGGAGUUCGGAUUCCUCACGCCUUUUUGGAGGUACAAGAAUCUCGCGACGUGUCGGAACUGCGUGUUUUUGGGCUGCUAUCCCCAACCGUGGUACCACUAA
rnacentral:rRNA from 1 species